rnacentral:rRNA from 1 species
UAUAACUGGGGGAAUAGCUCCCUGAAAGGGGAAUUAACACCGCAUAACACUAUUGAUUCGCAUGGAUUAGUAGUUAAAUGUAGCGAUACAGGUUAUAGAUGGGCAUGCGUGACAUUAGCUAGUUGGUGAGGUAACGGCUCACCAAGGCUACGAUGUCUAGGGGUUCUGAGAGGAAGGUCCCCCACACUGGUACUGAGACACGGACCAGACUCCUACGGGAGGCAGCAGUGAGGAAUAUUGGUCAAUGGGCGCAAGCCUGAACCAGCCAUGUCGCGUGCAGGAAGACUGCCCCUAUGGGUUGUAAACUGCUUUUAUAGUAGAAGAAACACAUCUAUGUGUAGAUGUCUGCCAGUAUACUAUGAAUAAGCAUCGGCUAACUCCGUGCCAGCCGCUGC